UGGGGAGUAGUACAGAGGCCCAGUAUCCCGGAUUCUGACUCCGGGGACCCAGGUUCGAAUCCUGGCACCCCAA
rnacentral:tRNA from 1 species